rnacentral:tRNA from 1 species
GGUUCCUUAGCCAAGUUGGUAAGGCAACAGACUGCAACUCUGUGACCGUCAGUUCGAAUCUGACAGGAACCUCCA